AUGGUGAAGUGGGCUGACAUAUGCUUGCCGAAGGACCGAGGUGGGUUGGGCAUCCCCGCGUCUCGCCGGAUGAACGUUGCGCUUAUGCUGCGUUGGGUUUGUCGGAUCUUGCGGGGAGAUGGGGGUUUGUGGCUGCAGCUGAUUGAGUCCAAGUACUUGCAGGGACAACCCCUCCUGGCUUGCUCUCACUCGGCUGGGUCCCAGUUCUGGAAAUCUAUUCAGGCCAUCAAGGAAGAGAUUAGGCUGAGUUUGCGUUUCUCAGUUGGCAAUGGGUCUGGGACCCAGUUUUGGUUGGACCCUUGGUUGGAGGGCGAGCCUCUCCACUUGCAGUUCCCGAGGCUCUUUGCGAUUUGUCACGACCCGGCCAUCCUUGUUUCUGUGGCUGCUUUGGAUGAGGGACGGAACAUUGCGUUCCGCCGCUCAUUCGGACCAGAUGAGGUACGGGAAUAG
rnacentral:rRNA from 1 species